GGGAGCGCUGGGGGCGGCGUGUGGGGGGGUGCGGGCGGUGCGGCUUUACACCGGUGGGUUUUGGUAUUAGCUUGAAAAGGAAAUUGAAAAUAUUUUGCCGGUGUUUUCAAGGUUUGAAGUUUCAUUCAAGUUUUAGCACAGAAACCCUUUUUGUUCUCUCAAAGAGCAGAAGUGUUUUCUUAGAACAGCAGUGAACUUGCAGAAGAAAAGAAUGGAUGACAAUACAUUAGUCUGUUCUAGCCCUAUUUUCAGUGACUUGACAGCAUUUCACAUCUUCUCUGCUCCUUAGCCCUUCUUCCGUAAAGCCUCUGCUCUUUUUUCUUCCUCAUCUCCCCUUUCUUGUGUGGAGUAAAGCUGGCAUGGAACACAGUCUUAUUCCAGGUUAUGGAGUGAAGUCAGUGACCACUAUUGUAGUCAUUCCUCUCAGAACAAAAGGGAAGCAAGAUGGAAAAGAGAAGCAAGGGCAGACAAUGGCAAUCAGGAGGAGCUGCAGGAAUUCUUGAAGCUCAGGCUGUUCCACACCAAGACCAUGGAAACACGAGUUGGACAAAAACAACUGAGGAGCACUUUUGGAGAGUGGUCAGGACAGAAAAAAAUUACUAGAAAGAGGAGGAAUAAAACUGUAGAUCUAAGCCUGCUAUCAAAGGAAUAAAAGGGUGGAGGCACAUCCUUAGAACAGCUCAUCCUUGUUUCCUGAGAGAUAACAUCUUACAUAUUGUUAUGUUGGAGGAUAGGUCACUACUCCAGGACUGGAUCUUGUCAUUCACUUACCUAUAUGAAGCUGAAAGGUGUGACAAAACUUCUAUUCAUAAUGCAUACCAAAGCAAUUAAAUACUCAUGUGUCUAACAGGUGUAAUAGUGAAAACCAGCAAAUGUCUAAGUGAGAAAAAGAGAUGGGACUUGUAGCCUGAGAGAUGUGCUUUGACAAUGAUAUUCAAGCAGCCACUGAGCAAGGAUGGAGGAGAUUAAAUGCAAUUAGUGAUAAGCAGACAAGGAAAAAAACAAGAAUCAAAUUACAAAUUGGUAAUUUGUAUUACCAAUUUGCGUUGGUAAUACAAAAAAAAAAAAGGGAAGUAGGGGGAAAGAAAACCCUAACCCUGGCAGAAUAGACAUAAGAAAAAAGAAGACAUUCUGGAUAUAGAAAAAUCUGGAAAGAAGUUUGGAAUUAAGAACAAAAAACCUGCCCCAGUAAAUAAAGAGGGCUGAUGCAAAGAAACACUGCCUCAGAAAAUAGUAGUUUCUCCUAGUGGAAACAGACAAAACAUGAGUUAAGCACUUGGAUCCUGACUUAUAAGAGAACACUAGAGCAGAGUUCCAAAGGGUUUCCUUCAUCUACUGAAUUCCCUUCCCAAGCCACGGUGCUGUUCCCACGGUCUCUGUUUCUGCAGCAAGCACGACCAGGAGAUGGCAGCCUUGGAUUCAGCAACACAAGCGCAAACCCAACAACAGCCAACUGCGGACUUGGAACUCAGAAAAAUCCUUCUGAAAGAAUUAAUUUCCGUGAGUUGCUCAGCAAAACUGGCAGAUGUUUCAGGCUGACACACUGCAUUUCUGCGGGACAUUCAUUCAUGCCCAUUUGUCUACAAUAUUAAGGCAAAAUUUUACUACCCAAUGGGGAGAGCUGUAACUCCACUACAUGUAGGAACUGCCAUUUACAUCCUUGGGAGCACCCUGCCUCAAUCCUGCAUAGGUUGGAGAACUUUACCUUCUAUAGACAGGUUUAACAGUGAGAGAAAAACACCUUCCUGAGACUGUUCUGUUACAUUCAGUGAAAUUGUCUCAUAAAUAUAAAAGCAUCCUUUUAUGUUUAACAUAUGUUUUCCUGUGCAAAGUUUAAGAUUUGUUUUUUAUUUAGAGCUGUAACUUAAAGUUCAGGAUUCUUCUUAUCAGUUCUACAGUGCCUCCAUAUAACAGGGCAAAAAUAUCAAGGACCACGUGUUAUCUAUUUAUUACAAUUUCAGGUAUAAAGGGACCAUAAAUAAUAACAGCUUUUUGCUGUAACACAUUGCAUCAUUGUCAAGAUUAAAUGUUUUGCAGACAUUUUUUUCUUCUUGAAAGAAGAAAAAUAUAUAUAUUAUAUACUGUAUUUAUAUUUAUAUACUGUAAAUUUAUAUCCUUUAAUUUACAAAUUAAUAAUUGAAGCAAAAGAUUAAGUCAGAAAUAGCCUGUCAUUUAGGACAUCUCACUUGCAAUCUCAAGGAUCAGAUUUUUCAUGUUAGAAACUUCAGAUCCAUUGUGCAAGCAACUACUGUUUGAGUUGAUGGAGUAACUAAUAGCAGGACAUAGCUUUAUAUCUGCACAGGACAUGAUUUCACCAGAUUUCAUGGUCCUCUAUUUGACAGAGUUUAGACAUUUGGUUUGUGUUUCAUUUGGACCAUGAAAGAGAAUUACAAGCAAUUUUUCUAUCUAUUAGACUAAAACAGAAUUUCAAUUGCUAAAAUAUUAAUACAAAAAAAAGUGAGGUUGCUAAUUAGAGGAGAUUGAGCAACAUAAUUUCUUUUUUAUGGCACAGUUAAAUUCAACUAGCUCCAUUUUCUAACCUUCAAAUCAGGUGAAAAGAAGUUAUGCGCAGAGGGCCUCUUCAAAAAUUUCAUGAGCAACUAAUUAUUCUUUUAACCAAUGUACUAAUUUAACUUACAUUUAACUUAUUGUUGUCAGUUGUCCCUAGCAGUUCUAAAAAAUAUACUUUUUUUCAGUAAUUGUUGUAGCAGAGUGGUAGUCAGGGAAAAAAAAAUCUAGAGAUACCUGCUUCAACAAGAAUUAAUAGGUUGGUAGAAUAUUAUCACAAUAUGAACAGGUUUGUUCAACUUGUGUGUAUACAUGUGUGUGUGUGUGCGCGCGCGCAUGUAUAUGUACACACUUCAUGGUUACAAAAGUACAUGACUAAAAUUUCUCUCUAAAAAUAAAUCACAUGGAGUUAUUUUUCAUGUAGACAACAUUUAGCAUUUGCAAAUUUCUGAUCUACUGUAUAAUUUUGAUAGCAAGGAACAUGGGGAAGAUUUUUUUAAACAAGUUGCUACUUGUAAAGUAAUUAUAAUUAUAGUCAUUGUUUUACUAAAUCUAUUUUAUUUUCCAGCUAAUGGCAUUUGUCAUGUUCAAAGACUUAAGAAAUAAUCUUGGACGUAAUAGAACAUUUUGAAAAUAGUAAGACAUACCUUGUUUAGCUUUACAAAGUACUCCAGCCCAGCUUCCAAUGGGUUAGUGUCACAGUUCAUCUGUUAAAAGAUAUAAAUUCACCAUCCAUACAUUACGGACCAUCACAGCUUUUGGACUGGGCAUUAUUCAUUCUAUACAUCCUUCUAUUUACUCCUGUGCCAAAGUCUUUCACACUGCAUGCACAGCUUCUGUCUCAAUACACUGCAAGCUUCCAACAUAGGAUUCAUAUAAGGUAUCAAUUAACACACCUAAUGUGACAUACAGAUGUGUAAACCACUCAUCUGAGUUUCCAUAUGCAAGGUAAGCACUUUUCAGAAAGAAAUAUGAUUUUUCAUCAAAGCAGAAUGGAACCUCAAAAAACUGAGUAACUGAGGUAUGCACAGCAUUUGCAACACAGCAGAGUGGCUUAGCCAGAGAAGGAAAUAAAACACAAAGCCGAUUUCAGUCACCACCUUCCCAUUCAGUGUAGGGGGAAUAAUUUCUUAAGAAGCACUUGAAGACAGAAUGAAAAUAACUAUCACAGGGCAAGCCAAAAGGACCCCUAAAUUCCCACAGUUUCAACCUCUUGAGUUCUUUCAUUUCCAAAGGAAAAAUGUAAGGUGAAAUGAAAUUAUACUGAUUUACCCCAAAUUCUCUAGGCCCUUGGCGUAGUUCUUUAUUAUGAGUUCUGCAGGAACAAGGUAAUGGGAAACAAAAAAGUUCCAAAUACAUUAUGAAGCAAAAAAAAUUUGCCUUUCAUAGUUGUUAGAGAAAUAAAACAUUUUGAGUACCUCUCAGCCAAACCUUUGAUUCUAAAACAUGAGAGCUCAGCAAAACCCUCAUAAUUUUGUUAUACAUAAGAGGAAAACCAUCCAUGAAUCAAAAUGAGUGUUUCUUUGCCAGCAGUGCAAUGGAGUAUACCACUUGUUUUUAUUUAGAAAAUCACCAGUAAGAAAGCAGCUUUUCCUGCUUGAGGAAAAUUUUCUUUUCAUGGUGAAUUAAGAAAAUUAAACAAAUAACAGCUGCACUAACUCUGACUAAAAACUGCAUAGUCAUAACAAAAUUAAAAAAUAAAAUUAAAAAACCCCACCAACACAACACCUCUCACCCCACAAAAAAAGCCAAAAAACAAAAACCAAAAAAAACCCCAACAAACCAAACCAAACAAACAAACAAAAAAAACCUCCAAAAAACCAAAGAAAAACAAAAAAAAAACAA